GAAGACUAAUGACCGAAGCUUCAAGACUUUGACAUGUGUGAAAACAUGAAAUGACCCUUGGCUCUUAUUGUUCUUGCUGGUGUGGUAUGUUCACGGCUGAAAAGAUGGUCAGAAGGGGAAAGGAGGAAGUGAGAAGAAAGAAACAGGGAAAUGGCUGGAGUGCGAUGGCAUGAUCUUGGCUCACGGCAAACUCCGCCUCCCUGGUUCAAGUGAUUCUCCUGCCUCAGCCUCCCGAGUAGCCGGGAUUACAGGCAUGUGCCACCAUGCCCCGUUGGCCAGGCUGGUCUCGAACACCUUACCUCAGGUGAUCCUCCCACCUUUGGGAUUACAGACCCUGCAUGUGAUGGAUCAGCUGACACCAUCCAGAUCGGUAAACUGGUUCAUCUGAUCUUGUGCCCUCCACCCAGGAACUGACUCAGCGCAAGAAGACAGCUUCGACUCCUUGUGAUUUCAUCCCUAACCAAUCAGCACUCCUGGCUCACUGGCUUCCCCCAACCCACCAAAUUGUCCUUAAAAACUCUGCUCUCCAAACGCUGGGGGAGACUGAUUUGAGUAAUAAUAAAACCCUGGUCUCCUGCACAGUUGGCUCUGCGUGAAUUACUCUUUCUCUAUUCCAAUUCCCUUAUUUUGGUGAAUUGGCUCUGUCUACGCAGUGGGCAAGGUGAACCCCUUAGGCGGUUACAUGGUUAUUGCCCCUUUUUUUUCCUUCCUUCCUUCCUUCCUCUCUCUCUCCCUCUUUUCCUCCCUCCUCUUCUCCCUCUUUCCCUCUCUUUCUUUCCUCCUAUUCAUAAAAACCUAUUGAAACUGACUUUGCAAAAAUUACAACUAAGAAAAUUAUGUCAGUGAAAGAAAUCUGACCUAACUGACUCCACCUUGCUUCUAAUUUCCAAGCUGUUACACCAUUCCUGGGUAUAGGCUGAACUAACUUUGGCAGGAACUUAGUUUAUAGUAUAACUUUGAAACAAAGACGGUAACAGCCCUUUGCCAAAACAAACCACCUUCCUACCUGAAGACUACACUGUCUUUGCAAGACUACCACCUUAGGUACCAGAUUAUAAAUUAUGGUUUAGGAGUCAUGCAGCUGGAGGCUGCAGGAUUCUGAACCUUUCCAAAUUGCUCCUGGGGAUAACGUCACUAUAAUAAAACCUAAGAUCAGUGCUUGAGGUAUUUUGUAGACCCUGUACUCCAUGGAUCAGCUGGUACCACCCAGAUCGAUAAACUGGCUCAUCUGAUCUUGUAGCCUCCAUCCAGGAAUUGAUUCAGUGCAAGAGGACAACUUAGACUUUUUAUGAUUUCAUCUCUGACCUGAUCUAUCAGCACGCCCCACUUUCCAACCCCCUACCCAUCAAAUUAUCCUUAAAAACUCUGAUCCCUGAACUCUGGAGAGGCUGAUUUGAGUAAUAAUAAAACUCCAGUCUCCCAUACUGUGGCUCUGCACGAGUUACACUUUCUCUGUUGCAAUUCCCCUGUCUUAAUAAACUGGCUCUCUCUAGGCAGUGGGCAAGGAGAACCUGUUAGGUGGUUACACUAUUGGCUACAUUAGUUUAUGGUUACAGUAUUUACAUAUAACCUCAAUUACAAGGAAAAUUAAAUGAUUACGGAGGCAACUGAACUAGAGUAUCCAGAUUCUUUUAUACUAGGAGUCACUAAGUAUAUAGUAUUUAUUGCUAAAUUAGAAAUAAAUGUUAUGGCCCAUCUGUAGACAAUAAGGCAAAUUCAGAGGAGCAAUUAAGAGCCACCCAGAACCUUGACUUUUAGAUGCAUGACCUGCCUCCCCUGGUCUGUAGGCAGUGGAGGAUUAAGGAAACAAAGUGCAAGGUAGCCCUGGGAGUAAAUUAACAGCAUAAUACACACUUCAAGAACACCCAGAGAUCUGUGAGUGAGACCAGGAGUUGCAAAGUUAAAUGGCUGUAGGGACCAGACAUGAGAUACAAAUGAAUAAAUGAGCAGGGUUUGUUCUUUGUAUAUAG
rnacentral:lncRNA from 1 species